UACGGCGCCAUGUGCUGGAAUCGCCCUUAAGUUGAUCCUGGCCAGGACGAACGCUGGCGGCGUGCUUACACAUGCAAGUCGAACGAUGAGCUGGAGCUUGCUCCGGUGGAUUAGUGGCGAACGGGUGAGUACACGUGAGAAAUCUGCCCUUGACUCUGGGAUAACUGCGGGAAACUGUAGCUAAUACCGGAUACUUUCCGAGGUGGGCAUCCACUUCGGAAGAAAGAAUUUCGGUCAAGGAUGAUCUCGCGGCCUAUCAGCUAGUUGGUGAGGUAACGGCUCACCAAGGCGACGACGGGUAGCCGGCCUGAGAGGGUGACCGGCCACACUGGGACUGAGACACGGCCCAGACUCCUACGGGAGGCAGCAGUGGGGAAUAUUGCACAAUGGGCGCAAGCCUGAUGCAGCAACGCCGCGUGAGGGAUGACGGCCUUCGGGUUGUAAACCUCUUUUAGCAGGGAAGAAGCGAAAGUGACGGUACCUGCAGAAAAAGCACCGGCUAACUACGUGCCAGCAGCCGCGGUAAUACGUAGGGUGCAAGCGUUGUCCGGAAUUAUUGGGCGUAAAGAGCUCGUACGCGGUUUGUCACGUCUGCUGUGAA
rnacentral:rRNA from 1 species